rnacentral:lncRNA from 1 species
AUAUCGCUAUAAAAUUUUCCAGAGCCCCAUGGCUCACCGCACCUGUGCGGGGUCCAGUUCCUGCUGUGAACCUCUGGCUUCCACAUCCGAUGCCUGAGGGAUGCAGCUGUGGGGACUGCAAGUAGUUCCAGAGCCAUCAGAGAAGCCAGCCGGCUGACCGGCCUCCCGCGUCGUCCCGUUGCCAUGGUAAUGCCCCAGUGCAGCACCAGGAAUAGAUGGCUUUUGAAGGGAGUGCUGCCGGAUGCUGUGCAUCGAGGCGAGGUGGGCCAGGACGGAGUUCAAGCUGAG